CCUACGGGAGGCAGCAGUGAGGAAUAUUGGUCAAUGGGCGUAAGCCUGAACCAGCCAAGUCGCGUGAGGGACUACGGCCCUACGGGUUGUAAACCUCUUUUGCCGGGGGACAAACGGCGGCACGUGUGCCCGGAGGGAGAGUACCCGCAGAAUAAGCAUCGGCUAACUCCGUGCCAGCAGCCGCGGUAAUACGGAGGAUGCGAGCGUUAUCCGGAUUUAUUGGGUUUAAAGGGUGCGUAGGCGGAUUUUUAAGUCAGCGGUAAAAUGUCCGGGCUCAACCCGGGCCGGCCGUUGAAACUGGGGAUCUUGAGUGGGCGAGAAGUAUGCGGAAUGCGUGGUGUAGCGGUGAAAUGCAUAGAUAUCACGCAGAACUCCGAUUGCGAAGGCAGCAUACCGGCGCCCGACUGACGCUGAGGCACGAAAGCGUGGGGAUCGAACAGGAUUAGAUACCCGAGUAGUC
rnacentral:rRNA from 1 species